rnacentral:rRNA from 1 species
UCAGACGAUGCGUCAUGCAUAUCAAUAAGCGGAGGAAAAGAAACUAACAAGGAUUCCCUUAGUAACGGCGAGUGAAGCGGGAAGAGCUCAAAUUUGAAAUCUUCAAGGUUUUACCUUGACGAAUUGUAGUUUAAAGAAGUGUUUUCUGCUGAAGUUUUGGUAAAAGUUCUUUGGAAUAGGACAUCAUAGAGGGUGAGAAUCCCGUAUUUGACCAUUAUUUUCAGCUGUGUGAUACACUUUCAAAGAGUCGGAUUGUUUGGGAAUGCAGUCCAAAAUGGGUGGUAAAUUUCAUCUAAAGCUAAAUAUUGGCGAGAGACCGAUAGCGAACAAGUACCGUGAGGGAAAGAUGAAAAGAACUUUGAAAAGAGAGUUAAACAGUACGUGAAAUUGUCAAAAGGGAAGCGUUUGACACCAGUGUUGUUUUCUCGAAAAUCAAUUAAAAAGAGUUAGAUUUUGUUGUGUAUUGACCUUAACAGCUUGCAUUUCAAUUUUCUUGCUUUUUUUAAUGCACUUUUCGUUUAACAAGUCAACAUCAGUUUCUUUUGUUGUAAAAAGGUCAUUGGAAGGUGGCUUUCUUUUCGGAGAAAGUGUUUAUAGCCUUUGACUCCUGCAAUCGGAGAGACUGGGGUCUGCAGCGUAGAUCCUUCGGGGUUAGAUACAUUUGUGCUAAGUUAUAGCUUUUUAUAGACAACUUGUUGACUAUGAUUAGUCUUGUAGCUUACUCGCUUAUGCUAUUUUACCUACGCUUAGGAUGUUGAGUCGUAGAGCACGCAG